GGCGAGUGAAGCGGCAAGAGCUCAAAUUUGAAAGCUGGCUCCUUCGGGGUCCGCAUUGUAAUUUGCAGAGGAUGCUUCGGGUGCAGCCCCCGUCUAAGUGCCCUGGAACGGGCCGUCAUAGAGGGUGAGAAUCCCGUAUGGGGCGGGGUGUCUGCGUCCGUGUGAAGCUCCUUCGACGAGUCGAGUUGUUUGGGAAUGCAGCUCUAAAUGGGUGGUAAAUUUCAUCUAAAGCUAAAUACUGGCCGGAGACCGAUAGCGCACAAGUAGAGUGAUCGAAAGAUGAAAAGCACUUUGAAAAGAGAGUUAAACAGCACGUGAAAUUGUUGAAAGGGAAGCGCUUGCAACCAGACUCGCUCGCGGGGUUCAGCCGGGCUUCGGCCCGGUGUACUUCCCCGCGGGCGGGCCAGCGUCGGUUUGGGCGGCCGGUCAAAGGCCUCCGGAAUGUAGCGCCCUUCGGGGCGCCUUAUAGCCGGGGGUGCAAUGCGGCCAGCCUGGACCGACGAACGCGCUUCGGCACGGACGCUGGCAUAAUGGUUGUAAACCACCCUUCUUGAAACACGGACCAAGGAGUCUAACAUCUACGCGAGUGUUCGGGUGUCAAACCCGUACGCGCAGUGAAAGCGAACGGAGGUGGGAGCCCCCUCGCGGGGCGCACCAUCGACCGAUCCUGAUGUCUUCAGAUGGAUUUGAGUACGAGCGUAGCUGUGGGGACCCGAAAGAUGGUGAACUAUGCCUGAAUAGGGCGAAGCCACAGGAAACUCUGGUGGAGGCUCGCAGCGGUUCUGACGUGCAAAUCUAUCGUCAAAUUUGGGUAUAGGGGCGAAAGACUAAUCGAACCAUCUGGUAGCUGGUUCCUGCCGAAGUUUCCCUCAGGAUAGCAGUAACGCGGAUCAUUUUUAUGAGGUAAAGCAAAUGAUUAGAGGCAUUGGGGUUGAAACAACCCUUAACCUAUUCUCAAACUUCAAAUAUGUAAUAAGCACUUGUUGCUUGGUUGAACAUACGCAUUAAAAUGGAGCGUUACUAUUGGGCCAUUUUUGUUAGGCAGAACUGGCGAUGCGGGAUGAACUAACCCCGAAGUUAAAGUUCCGGACUGCAUGUAGUCCAGACAUCCCCAAAAGUGUUAGUUGGUCUAGAGGUUCCAACGGGGGCCAUGGACCUUGGGAAUAAAUGAGAUUUUUAAUAGUAAGGGCCCAUGGGGGGGCCUAAAAGGGGGGGCCCAAAAGAAGGCCCCCCUUAAAUUCAAUGGGGGCACCAAGGGGGCGGAUUAAAUUAACGGGGGCCCUGCCACCUUGGGGGGCCGGGGGGGCCCCCUU
rnacentral:rRNA from 1 species